rnacentral:rRNA from 1 species
ACGGCCAUACCACAUUGAAAACACCGGUUCUUGUCCGAUCACCGAAGUUAAGCAAUGUCAGGCCCGGUCAGUACUUGGGAGGGUGGCCACCUGGGAACACUGGGUGCUGUAUGCU